GAUGAACGCUGGCGGCGUGCCUAAUACAUGCAAGUCGAGCGAACGGACGAGAAGCUUGCUUCUCUGAUGUUAGCGGCGGACGGGUGAGUAACACGUGGAUAACCUACCUAUAAGACUGUGAUAACUUCGGGAAACCGGAGCUAAUACCGGAUAAUAUUUUGAACCGCAUGGUUCAAAAGUGAAAGACGGUCUUGCUGUCACUUAUAGAUGGAUCCGCGCUGCAUUAGCUAGUUGGUAAGGUAACGGCUUACCAAGGCAACGAUGCAUAGCCGACCUGAGAGGGUGAUCGGCCACACUGGAACUGAGACACGGUCCAGACUCCUACGGGAGGCAGCAGUAGGGAAUCUUCCGAAAUGGGCGAAAGCCUGACGGAGCAACGCCGCGUGAGUGAUGAAGGUCUUCGGAUCGUAAAACUCUGUUAUUAGGGAAGAACAUAUGUGUAAGUAACUGUGCACAUCUUGACGGUACCUAAUCAGAAAGCCACGGCUAACUACGUG
rnacentral:rRNA from 1 species